rnacentral:rRNA from 1 species
AUUGAACGCUGGCGGCAGGCCUAACACAUGCAAGUCGAGCGGAUGAAGGGAGCUUGCUCCUGGAUUCAGCGGCGGACGGGUGAGUAAUGCCUAGGAAUCUGCCUGGUAGUGGGGGAUAACGUCCGGAAACGGGCGCUAAUACCGCAUACGUCCUGAGGGAGAAAGUGGGGGAUCUUCGGACCUCACGCUAUCAGAUGAGCCUAGGUCGGAUUAGCUAGUUGGUGGGGUAAAGGCCUACCAAGGCGACGAUCCGUAACUGGUCUGAGAGGAUGAUCAGUCACACUGGAACUGAGACACGGUCCAGACUCCUAAGGGAGGCAGCAGUGGGGAAUGUUGGACAAUGGGCGAAAGCCUGAUCCAGCCAUGCCGCGUGUGUGAAGAAGGUCUUCGGAUUGGAAAGCACUUUAAGUUGGGAGGAAGGGCAGUAAGUUAAUACCUUGCUGUUUUGACGUUACCAACAGAAUAAGCACCGGCUAACUUCGUG